AAACUUUCAACAACGGAUCUCUUGGUUCUCGCAUCGAUGAAGAACGCAGCAAAAUGCGAUAAGUAAUGUGAAUUGCAGAAUUCAGUGAAUCAUCGAAUCUUUUGAACGCACAUUGCGCCCUCCGGUAUUCCAGAGGGCAUGCCUGUUCGAGUGUCAGC
rnacentral:rRNA from 1 species